UCCUGACUGAAUCAAGAUACGCUGGGGAAGAGGCAUCUGAAGAUAGCCCGGGUUCUGACCUCGGCCCUGCUGCCUAACUGCCUGGUGACUUCAGCGCAAGGCCUCGCUGAAGCGAACCCAUCGUGGGAAGGGCGCGGAGAAAGCGGGGAGAAAGAGCAGGGGGACGUCGGGCCUGCGCCUGGCACCACCGCUACCUGGAUUCGCGGGCCCCUCACACACUCACCUGCCGGUAAGGAUAGCUGGCCAUGGCGAUUCUGACGUCACACUCAGGCAAGGGGUGGGCCCUUCCGCUCUCAAACCCGCCCCUCGUCUCGGCUUUGGGGCUGGGCCCGCAUCUGACUGGACGUCCGCGCCUGUCAAUCUUGGGUGCUGUCGGCCGACGGAAGUGACGAUGGGGGCGGUGGGCGGAUGCCUACCCGAGAGACCAGGGGAGCUAAGUGAUUGAUGGAGCUUCCGGAAGUCUUGGCGGCUGUACCGGCGCUAAUGUUCCUCCUUUUCCUGAGGUGGAGUGGGCCGAAGAGGUGGUCAGGUUGGGAAAUUUAGUGAGAAGUCUGGGUGGGGUGUUGCUGCAGUAGCCAUGUUAUAACCUGGCAAGUGGGACGCAUGAUAGUGACGUAAUUGCUGGAGUAGCUCCUGAGUUUCCGCAGAUGAGCCGCGGGAAAGGAGACAAGGGGCGGUGGCCAGGCGGUUGCCCUGACAACGGGGAACCGACCGACUCUUCCCGGUAGGGAGAGGCGAUGGCGGAAUUACUCCUCUAAUGUCAAGGUAUUCUAAUCACAGAAUUACUGGAGCAUCAAGAAGUGCCUGCAUGCUUGGAAGGGCUUCCAGGCAGAUGAACACACCUCAGCACCGGGUGGCAUUUUCCCAGGGUGCAACCCGGACCGGCUCUGGGUCACACUGACAAGCCUCUCCGACUCCCCAGGCUGGGCUGGGUGCUCCUCCCUUUCAUCCCACAGCGCUGUGUCUCAUGUCUUCUGGAAAACUUGCCAAUCCCUAGUGACAACAAGGAUUAACAAUUUCCAGAGACAGCCCGUACAUAGAAGGAAUGUUUACUGAAAAAAAUGAAGAGGGGUCAGGGCAAGGCAAGGAGCGAGAAGCACCCCCAAGGAAACAGAGAAGACCAGUACAACUGUACCUCUUUGCCAGCUGCACCAUCCGUACCAGGUUCGCCCUGGGGAGUAGAGAGCAAUGGAGACGUGAGGAGCUCCAACCCAGUUUGGUGCCAGAUGCCUCACUUUGUACAUGGGGCAAGCCCAGCCCCCUGUUCCACCCAGAGGCCACGAUCCUCCAGCCCUCACCCUCUGACAAUCUGGGCACAGGCCGUGGAAACUUAGACCCCACCCCCUACUCCAGCGUGAUGCCAGAGCCCCAGCAGCUCCCAGCCCCCGUCUACAAGAGCUUUACAAGGGAAGAACAGACCGUGCCUGCCUUGCUGUGUGCUUGGAUCCUGGCACCCUGCACACUCCCUGGCUCUGAAUCUAUGUUAAACGUUUGCUGAAUGAACACAUGAACAGCCUGAGCCGGCCCCCUCCCUGAGACCAGCAAGGCAGCCUCUCUUCUGGUGGCUGCUGGGGAAGAGGACUCUGAUUGCUAGGCAAGUGGGAGAUUCAUCCAGGGGCCAUGGAGGCUCCUGAGCCUGCAAGGAGGGAGGCAGGGUCCUUGGCAGGAAUCAGAGCGAAUAGGCGUGGUGAGACUGGGCCUACCUGGCAGAUGGGCUGACUGGAGUCAAACACCCCAGCCCAGGCCACCAGCCCCACGGUCACUGCUGCUGCCCCCCAGAAAAAGUCUGCGUUGAUGGAAAGCAUCCUGAUGGGUCCCAGGAGACCUGGGUCCCUGCCUCUGCUCUCCCAGGAGACUUUUCAUCCCUGACCCUGGCAAUCAGUUGCACCUGUUAGGGUUCACCUGUCUGGAACUUUUGAGAGAGGUAGAUUUGCAGAGUGGCUAAGGACACGAGUUCUGGAAUCAGGCAGGCUGGGAUCAAGUCAGAGCUCUUCCACUCACUAGCUAUGUGACUCCGAGCAACCUGCCUAACCUUGCGGAGCCCCCGUUUCCUCAUCUGUAAAAUGGGGACAAUCAGAUCCACUAAAUGGGGCUGCGGCACAGAUUAAGAUAAAAUGCACAGCAAGCACUUAGUCCACCAUUCGGCACACAUCGGUGACCAAUAUAUCAGCGCUCUUAGUGUUAAACGUGAGCUGAGACCAAGUCCUGGUUUCCGAGGACUCAGGAAGUUACAGUAACAGCACUGCAUUUCUGGUUCCUGACAUUUAGCAAGAUUUUCUGUGGUUACCGACAAGCUCCCCUGGGGAAGGGGAAGAGGCAGAACAGGGACACGUAGCCAAGGGGUCUGUAGAAGGUUGAUGCUGAGGCACCAUCAUGGGCAGUGACCUCAUGUGCAGCCUGGCACAGCACUGCAGGGCCUAUCCUUCCAAAUUCAGCAUGAUCCUCAGGCCUGAACGCCACGCUGCCAUCCUGCCAUGCUGACAGCCUCUCCUUCCUUAGAGACCCCAGAUAUGUUGUGCUGUGCUCAACAGGCCUUGAGCCAAUUGACUUUUUCCCCCUGGGCUAUGCUGUAGAAUGUGGGAUCUUACUGGGGG